rnacentral:rRNA from 1 species
GACGAGCGCUGGCGGCGUGCCUAAUACAUGCAAGUCGAACGCUUUUUCUUUCACCGGAGCUUGCUCCACCGAAAGAAAAAGAGUGGCGAACGGGUGAGUAACACGUGGGUAACCUGCCCAUCAGAAGGGGAUAACACUUGGAAACAGGUGCUAAUACCGUAUAACACUAUUUUCCGCAUGGAAGAAAGUUGAAAGGCGCUUUUGCGUCACUGAUGGAUGGACCCGCGGUGCAUAUAGCUAGUUGGUGAGGUAACGGCUCACCAAGGCAACGAUGAGUAGCCGACCUGAGAGGGUGAUCGGCCACACUGGGACUGAGACACGGCCCAGACUCCUACGGGAGGCAGCAGUAGGGAAUCUUCGGCAAUGGACGAAAGUCUGACCGAGCAACGCCGCGUGAGUGAAGAAGGUUUUCGGAUCGUAAAACUCUGUUGUUAGAGAAGAACAAGGAUGAGAGUAGAACGUUCAUCCCUUGACGGUAUCUAACCAGAAAGCCACGGCUAACUACGUGCCAGCCGCCGCGGUAA